AGUGAACGCUGGCGGCGGGCUUAACACAUGCAAGUCGAACGGCAGCACAGUAAGAGCUUGCUCUUACGGGUGGCGAGUGGCGGACGGGUGAGGAAUACAUCGGAAUCUACUCUUUCGUGGGGGAUAACGUAGGGAAACUUACGCUAAUACCGCAUACGACCCACGGGUGAAAGCAGUGGAUCUUCGGACCUUGCGCGAUUGAAUGAGCCGAUGCCCGAGUAGAUAGUGGGCGGGGUAAAGGCCCACGAAGGCGACGAUCCGUAGCUGGACCGAGAGGAGGGUCAGCCACACUGGAACUGAGACACGGUCCAGAGUCCUACGGGAGGCAGCAGUGGGGAAUAUUGGGCAAUGGGCGCAAGCCUGAUCCAGCCAUACCGCGUGGGUGAAGAAGGCCUUCGGGUUGUGAAGCCGUUUUGUUGGGAAAGAAAAGCAGCAGGUUAAUACCACGCUGUUCUGACGGUACCCAAAGAAUAAGCACCGGCUAACUUCGUG
rnacentral:rRNA from 1 species